rnacentral:misc_RNA from 1 species
GUUGGUGAACCAGCGGAGGGAUCAUUAUCGAGUUACAAGACUCCCAAACCCCCUGUGAACCGUACCACACGCGUUGCCUCGGCGGGACCGCCCCGGCGCCCCAGCGGCCCGGACCAAGGCGCCCGCCGGAGGACCACCCAGACUCUCCUGUCGCAGUGGCAUUUCUCUCCGAGUCAAAAAACAAGCAAAUGAAUCAAAACUUUCAACAACGGAUCUCUUGGUUCUGGCAUCGAUGAAGAACGCAGCAUCU